rnacentral:rRNA from 1 species
UACAGAGGGUGCAAGCGUUAAUCGGAAUUACUGGGCGUAAAGCGUGCGUAGACGGUUACGUAAGUCGGGUGUGAAAGCCCCGGGCUCAACCUGGGAAUUGCAUUCGAGACUGCGUAGCUAGGGUGCGGAAGAGGGAAGCGGAAUUUCCGGUGUAGCGGUGAAAUGCGUAGAUAUCAGGAGGAACACCGGUGGCGAAGGCGGCUUGCUGGGCCUUACCUGACGCUGAGGAGCGAAAGCGUGGGGAGCGAACAGG